rnacentral:rRNA from 1 species
AUUGAACGCUGGCGGCAUGCUUUACACAUGCAAGUCGAACGGUAACAGGCCGCAAGGUGCUGACGAGUGGCGUACGGGUGAGUAAUGCAUCGGAACGUGCCCAGUCGUGGGGGAUAACGCAGCGAAAGCUGUGCUAAUACCGCAUACGAGCUAUGGAUGAAAGCGGGGGACCGUAAGGCCUCGCGCGCUUGGAGCGGCCGAUGUCAGAUUAGGUAGUUGGUGGGGUAAAGGCCUACCAAGCCGACGAUCUGUAGCUGGUCUGAGAGGACGACCAGCCGCACUGGGACUGAGACACGGCCCAGACUCCUACGGGAGGCAGCAGUGGGGAAUUUUGGACAAUGGGCGCAAGCCUGAUCCAGCAAUGCCGCGUGCAGGAAGAAGGCCUUCGGGUUGUAAACUGCUUUUGUACGGAACGAAACGGUCUGGGUUAAUACCCUGGGCUAAUGACGGUACCGUAAGAAUAAGCACCGGCUAACUACGUGCCAGCAGCCGCCGUAAGAC